AGGAGAUGAAAGCUAUCUCAGCUGGUGCUACUCUCACUUUCCAAGCAUGGAGCUGGUGGCACAAAACUUCCCAAGGGUAAAAAGUUUUGCUACAAAGAUGAUCACAAACCAGCCCCACUUCAAAGUUUAUCGCCAUACUGGAAAUCAUUAUAUUCCCUAAGAUCGUAGAGUGGACUCUCAAGGAAGCAGAAACAUGAUCAAGGAGAUGAUCAUAGAGUCUAUUCACUCUACUGCUGAUGGUGUUCAAGGUCAAAAUCAGAAACCUCCAUCUGCUCAAGCACUACUGACAGACAUUCCUUCAUCCUCAACCAACGAUUGGAACUCAACGAUCCUUCAGAUUCUCAACACCUUUGAAAAUCUGUCCAAGAAUGCAGAUCGUAGAGUUCAAACUAAUGCUCGAUAGGAGGCUGCUCAACCAGAUAAUCAAGUAUCUGUGGAGAAGGAGCUGAUGAAAAACUUUGAUGAACUGAGUGAGAAAAUAUCUCUAUUCAAUGAAGAGUCACAGAAUCUGACAACAGCAGGAGAUAUUUCAUCUCAGAACAAGCUUCAAGCUACUAUGACUGAUGUAUCUCUCAAACUCAAAGAAAGAGAUAACAUCUAUCUGAAGGUCAUACAUGAUCAGAAGGCAGAAGCUCUAUAAGCACAGAAGGCCAAUGAAGAGCAGAUCCACGCCCUCUCGGACAAGAUUGACGACAUGAAGCAGUCUUUCUCAGUGCAACUUGAGCUAGGCCAACAGGAACUCAAGUUUGAAGUUGUUAACUCCUCCUACCUGAUGGAGCCGCUCAUGACCAAC
rnacentral:lncRNA from 1 species